rnacentral:tRNA from 1 species
UAGGAGGUAGCUCAGCGGUAGAGCGGCGGUAGUUAGGCCGCAGGUCGGAGGUUCGAGCCCUCCGCUCCUAU